rnacentral:pre_miRNA from 1 species
CUUGUACUCCUUCCAUUCGGAAAUACUUGUCGGAGGAAUGGUGUAUCUAGGCGUAAUUUAUUUCUAGAUAGAUCCAUUUUUACCUAUUUUUCCGAUGAGUAUUUCUGGACGGGGGGAGUAUCAA